rnacentral:SRP_RNA from 1 species
GCUGGGCUAGGUGGCGCGUGCCUGUAGUCCCAGCUACUCGGGAGGCUGAGAUGGAAGAUCGCUUGAGCCCAGGAAUUCUGUGCUGUAGUGCGCUAUGCUGAUCGGGUGUCCGCACGAAGUUCAGCAUCAAUAUGGUGAUCUCCUGGGAGCGGGUGACCACCAGAUUGUCUAAGGAGGGGUGAACCGGCCCAGGUCGGAAACGGAGCAGGUCGAAACUCCCGUGUUAUCAGUAGUGGGAUUGCGCCUGUGAAUAGCCACUGCACUCCAGCCUGGCCAACAUAGCGGGACGCGGUCUCU